rnacentral:ncRNA from 1 species
CAAAGGUUUGGUCCUGGCCUUACUGUUAAUUUUAAUUAGACCUACACAUGCAAGUUUCCGCCCACCUGUGAGUAUGCCCUCAAAACUAUAUACAAGUUAAAAGGAGCUGGUAUCAGGCACACUUAAAGUAGCCCAUGACACCUUGUUUAACCACGCCCCCACGGGACACAGCAGUGACUAACAUUGAGCCAUAAACGAAAGUUUGACUAAGUUAUAAUUACUUUAGGGUUGGUAAAUUUCGUGCCAGCCACCGCGGUCAUACGAUUAACCCAAAUUAAUAGAAUAACGGCGUAAAGCGUGUUUAAAUACUAAAUUAGCAAAUAAAGUUAAUAUCUAACUAAGCUGUAAUACGUUAUAGUUAGUACUAAAAUAUACUACUAAAGUGACUUUAAUUCAAUUGAAUACACGACAGCUAAGACACAAACUGGGAUUAGAUACCCCACUAUGCUUAGCCCUAAACCUAAAUUAUUACUUAACAAAAUAACUCGCCAGAGAACUACUAGCAAAUGCUUAAAACUCAAAGGACUUGGCGGUGCCCUAAACCCACCUAGAGGAGCCUGUUCUAUAAUCGAUAAACCCCGAUACACCUCACCCUCUCUUGCCAAUACAGUCUAUAUACCGCCAUCGUCAGCUCACCCCACAGGGCUAAAAAGUGGGCAAAAUCAUUAAUCAUAAAAACGUUAGGUCAAGGUGUAACAUAUGAGGAGGAAAGCAAUGGGCUACAUUCUCUACCCUAGAGUAUCACGAAUCAUCUUAUGAAAUAAAGAUGCUUGAAGGAGGAUUUAGUAGUAAAUUAAGAAUAGAGUGCUUAAUUGAAAUAGGCAAUAGGGCGCGCACACACCGCCCGUCACCCUCCUCAAUAUAAUCAAAAAUAUAAAUAAUCAGAUAAAUCUCCAAAGAGGAGAAAAGUCGUAACAUGGUAAGUGUACUGGAAAGUGCACUUGGACUAUC